UACGUAGGGAGCAAGCGUUGUUCGGAUUUACUGGGCGUAAAGGGCGCGUAGGCGGCGCGGUAAGUCACUUGUGGAAAUCUCUGAGCUUAACUCAGAACGGCCAAGUGAUACUGCAGUGCUAGAGUGCAGAAGGGGCAAUCGGAAUUCUUGGUGUAGCGGUGAAAUGCGUAGAUAUCAAGAGGAACACCUGAGGUGAAGACGGGUUGCUGGGCUGACACUGACGCUGGAGGCGCGAAAGCCAGGGGAGCAAACGGG
rnacentral:rRNA from 1 species